rnacentral:rRNA from 1 species
CUCAAGAUGAGAUUUCCCAACUUCGGUUAUAAGAUCCCUCGAAGAUGACGAGGUUAAUAGGUUCGAGGUGGAAGCGUGGUGACACGUGGAGCUGACGAAUACUAAUCGAUCGAAGACUUAAUCAAU